rnacentral:lncRNA from 1 species
AAGGCAUCGGGUAAAGCAUUGGAGAGUAGUUUAGGAUUAGUGUAGGUUUACUUUUCAGUACCUUUUUAUUUUGGACUGUAUAAUUGGACUGGACACUAUAUUUUGGAUUCGUUUUGUUUGUGGUUGAUUGUUUUAUGUGUUUUUGUGUGGUUUAUACAUUCGUGAUGUCAAAUUAGCCGAUACGCUCCACCAAGCGACCGUGGUCGAACCACGGGAUCGAGGGAUGCCUAACACCUUCCCCUCGGUCAACAGAAUUCCUUAGC